GCCCAGGUAGCUCAGGGGUAGAGCACAUCCUUGGUAAGGAUGAGGUCGCGAGUUCAAUUCUCGCUCUGGGCUCCA
rnacentral:tRNA from 4 species